UACGUAGGGGGGCAAGCGUUGUCCGGAAUCAUUGGGCGUAAAGAGCGUGUAGGCGGCCCGGUAAGUCCGCCGUGAAAGUCCAGGGCUCAACCCUGGAAUGCCGGUGGAUACUGUCGGGCUAGAGUCCGGAAGAGGCGAGUGGAAUUCCUGGUGUAGCGGUGAAAUGCGCAGAUAUCAGGAGGAACACCGAUGGCGAAGGCAGCUCGCUGGGACGGUACUGACGCUGAGGCGCGAAAGCGUGGGGAGCAAACAGG
rnacentral:rRNA from 1 species